rnacentral:rRNA from 1 species
CUUAUGGCGUUAUGAUAGCUUGCCGGGGGUAGAGCACUGGAUGGACUAGGGGGCAUACCCGCUUACCAAACCCAACCAAACUUCGAAUACCGGCUAAGUAUUUCAUAGCAGACAGCCCGCGGGUGAUAAGAUCCGUGGACGAAAGGGAAACAACCCGGACCAUCGACUAAGUGUCCCAAAGUAUGUGCUAAGUGGGAAAGGAUGUGGGAUUGCUUAGACAGCCAGGAGGUUAGCUUAGAAGCAGCUACCCUUUAAAGAAAGCGUAAUAGCUCACUGGUCAAGCGAUCCCGCGCCAAAAAUGAUCGGGACUAAGCACGUCACCGAAGUCGUGGAUUCAUAAUUUUUAAUUAUGAGUGGUAGGAGAGCGUUCCGUAGGCCCGGGAAGGCGGGUGGUGAUGCCCGCUGGAGGUAUCGGAAAUGAGAAUGCUGGCAUGAGUAUGCGAAAAUGCAGGUGAAAAACCUGCACACCGUAAGUCUAAGGUUUCCUGGGUAAAGCUAAUCUUCCCAGGGUUAGUCGGGUCCUAAGGCGAGGCCGAGAGGCGUAGUCGAUGGCAAUCGGGUUAAUAAUCCCGAACCGCAAAUAACGCGUUAUUACCGAUGGGGUGACGCAUGGAGCAGAAUUUAGCCACUGAUGGAUGUGGCGGAUUGCGCGUAAGAUGUACAGGUGGCAAAUCCCCUGUACGCGUAUCUGAGACGCAGGACCUUUUGAGGGCUUCGGCCCAAAGAAGAGUAAUUCCGGUCUGUGCCAGGAAAAACCUCUAAGGGAGUUUUAUUUGUGCCCGUACCGUAAACCGACACAGGUAGACGAGGCGAAUAGCCUAAGGUGCUCGAGACAACUCGGGAGAAGGAACUCGGCAAAUUAACCCCGUAACUUCGGGAUAAGGGGAGCCUCCAUUUGUUAGUGUGAACAGCACAAAGCAUAAGGAGGCCGCAGAGAAAUGGCAGAAGCCACUGUUUACCAAAAACACAGGGCUAUGCAAACCCGUAAGGGAAAGUAUAUAGUCUGACACGUGCCCGGUGCUGGAAGGUUAACAGGAGAUGUCAGCGCAAGCGAAGCAUUGAAUCGAAGCCCCAGUAAACGGCGGCCGUAACGAUAACGGUCCUAAGGUAGCGAAAUUCCUUGUCGGGUAAGUUCCGACCUGCACGAAUCGUGUAACGACUUCUGCACUGUCUCCUCCCGGGACUCGGCGAAAUUGCAGUGUCGGUGAAGAUGCCGACAACCCGCACCUGGACGGAAAGACCCCAUGAACCUUCACUGUAUUUUGACAUUGGUUUUAGGCUUGACAUGUGUAGGAUAGGUGGGAGGCUUUGAAGCG